GACGAACGCUGGCGGCGCGCUUAACACAUGCAAGUCGAACGGAAAGGCCUGCUUUCCCUUGUGGAUUGCGGGUACUCGAGUGGCGAACGGGUGAGUAACACGUGAGUUAUCUGCCCCCAACUUGGGUAUAAGCCUGGGAAACUGGGUCUAAUUCCCGAUAGGACUGCAGGGUGGUGCCUGUGGUGGAACACGAUUUUCUAGUGGUUGGGGAUGAGCUCGCGGCCUAUCAGCUUGUUGGUGGGGUAAUGGCCUACCAAGGCGGCGACGGGUAGCCGGCCUGAGAGGGGGGACGGCCACAUUGGGACUGAGAUACGGCCCAGACUCCUACGGGAAGCAGCAGUGGGGAAUAUUGCACAAUGGGCGGAAGCCUGAUGCAGCGACGCCGCGUGGGGGAUGACGGCCUUCGGGUUGUAAACUCCUUUCGACCGCGAGGAAGCCACCUGGUUGGAAGGGUGGUGACGGUAGUGGUAGAAGAAGCACCGGCUAACUACGUG
rnacentral:rRNA from 1 species